rnacentral:rRNA from 1 species
AGUGAACGCUGGCGGUAGGCCUAACACAUGCAAGUCGAACGGCAGCACAGAGGAGCUUGCUCCUUGGGUGGCGAGUGGCGGACGGGUGAGGAAUACAUCGGAAUCUACUCUGUCGUGGGGGAUAACGUAGGAAAACUUACGCUAAUACCGCAUACGACCUACGGGUGAAAGCAGGGGAUCUUCGGACCUUGCGCGAUUGAAUGAGCCGAUGUCGGAUUAGCUAGUUGGCGGGGUAAAGGCCCACCAAGGCGACGAUCCGUAGCUGGUCUGAGAGGGUGAUCAGCAACACUGCAACUGAGACACGGUCCAGACUCCUACGGGAGGCAGCAGUGGUGAAUAUUGGACAAUGGGCGCAAGCCUGAUCCAGCCAUACCGCGUGGGUGAAGAAGGCCUUCGAGUUGUAAAGCCCUUUUGUUGGGAAAGAAAUCCAUCUGGUUAAUACCCGGGUGGGAUGACGGUACCCAAAGAAUAAGCACCGGCUAACUUCUUGCCAGCCGCCGCGGUAA